UGGAAAAACACUUUAAUCUUUUAUUGCAGACACAACAGACAAAGACGGAUUAAAAGAUUUUAUUUCAAAUCUGCAUCGUCGGGCAGAACAUUUCAAUCGAAAUAAACUGGAAAAACGCAUAUUUCACUGCUUUGAAAUGAAACCUAGGGUCUCUCUCUCUCUCUCUCGCUCUCUCUCUCUCUCUCUCUCUCUCUCUCUCUCUCUCUCUCUCUCACACACCACCACUAAAGACACACGGAGACACACGGGAACGGCGUUGUUUCAGGAUAUAAACUGUACAUUCUGGUCGACCGAUGAGCAAAGAAAGAACUAGGAAGCAGACGGGAACGAGAAACCACAACAAGCAAGCAUCGCCAAGUAAUAACAGGAAAUCAAACGUUAUCAAAAGAAUGCACUGUAUGUAUAUAUAUUUAUAUGGAUAUAAAAAGCACAAAGUAUAAAGGAGUAGGGGGUUAAGAGGGGGGAGGAUUUAUAGACGUUUCCGCGUGUUGAUGAGGAAGCAACAGAGCAUCUGUUGUGAAGUGCGACGGGUCAGAGGGUCAGGGGGGUCAGGGGUCAGGGGGGUCAGGGGUCAUAGCGUGCCGACGCCCCUCGGGGCGUUCUAAUCAAUCCAGAUCGGUUUCCCAGGCAACAAGGGGGACUGGUGGAGUAACCUGCGUUCAGGACGCCGCGCCGGAGAGGAACGAGCGCCAAGGCACAAAGUAGCACAUCUGGUCUGGCUGUUUAUGUUUCUGUUAGUCGUGGCCAAUCGGUUUGGUUAGAAUGGACCUCUGAGGAAUAAGUCCCGCCUCCGAGGUCUAUGGGUUUGGCUCUGCAGCAUGGGAGAAUGAACCAAUCAAACGUGAGCAACAGCAGUCAUGGGCGGUUCCUGUCGUCAAAGAAACCAAUAGGAAGCAUUUGAAUAGAGUAAUGUUUAAAUGACUAAUACCUUCAAACUUAUCAAUAGCUUUAUCCUUAUCCUUCAUUUUAAUACGAGGUUCAACACUAAUGGAUUAUUUCGCUCCCUUAUGCUGAUUGCCUUAAUACUUACUAGAUAUUGUUGUACAUAUAUUCAUGAUAAGACGGCUGUUUUUCUUUCAGUUCUGGGGUCAACUCUCUACUCUCUCCCUCUUUCUCCAAGAUCGCUGAUUAUUUCGGACUGUGAAACUUUCAAGCUUUUCUCACGUGUCCAAACAGUGUGUGGACUUUAGUACAAAUAUGCAACACAAAAUCAUUCAAGAUACUCACAAAAGCAGCAAUUAAUUGUCACAUUAUAUAUAUAUAUAAAUUAAACAUAAAAAAUAUUAAUAAAAAUACACACAGCCACUGGAAAAUUAUAUUCCAGUAAAACUUAAAACCAAAAUUUUUUCCAUAAUGAAACCGUCUUGUUCUUUUCAUACAAUUCAUAAUUACAAAAUAGGCAAAACAUUUUUUUCCUCAAAUGCUUUGCUUUGAAAGAAUACUUUUUUUCUCAUUUUUAAUCAAUAGUAUAAUCUAGUUUUAGAAAACUAUUGGGUUUUACGUUGGAACUCUAUUGAAUCAAUUUCAACUUUUUUUUUUUCAUCGUAGGAACCGUCUGGAUUGUACCGUUGAAUUAUAAGUUAGACUGCAGUUUAGAAUAUAACCUGCGCUAUAUAUUUAUUCUCCAUCUCUCCUUGCUUCUCCUUAUAAAAGCGUCUUGGUUACGCGCCCCGUGUUGUACCACUAGGUGUCCUUCUCAUUAGCCUUUACGAGCUAGUUCAAAUUGACCCUGUUAUGACAUCAUAGUGGAAGUACACGCCCAGAUGUUUGACGGACAGCCAGCCUACUUGUCUCCUUUGGAAUGUACCAACUGCUGGGCUGAUCCAUCCCUGGUCGAAUAGGGGCCCUUCGUGCUGUGGGUGAAGUAGGUUUGUUGUUGGCGUGUAUUUAAGCAGUCAGCAUGAGUCUGUUAAUGGCUGCUGAUACUGAUGCUAUACUGAUAAGUGAUUCAAAUACGUUACAAAUACUCGCGCCAUGUGGUUCAAUUUUGACAGCUUGACUUACCCGUUAAGAGAUGACAUGGAUCCCGGUUUUAAGUGUUUCUAGAAGUUGAAUCUAAGAGUUAAAAUACUUGAUAAAAUACACCCUGAACUGGCCUGGAGGUCGUUAUAAAAUACUUUUUGUGUUGUUUUCUUACUCUUAUUUUUUGAAUACUGUAAAGAAAGAGGAGAUGGAGACGUGCAGGUGCAUGCUGACGGAGGUGACGGGCAGCAGGGAGGAGACGGGGUCCUGGACGAGGUCAGCUGGCCGGCGGGCCGGGGUUUAUGCAGAGUUUCAGAAGCUCGGAUCCAAAGCUUUUCUUUUUCCUUCUAUCUUUGUUUAUUUUGUGUGUUUUUUUUUAACAAACGGUGCAGUGUUCCUCAGAGAGAGUCCCUCGAGUGGACGGUUUCAUCUUGACCUCCUCCUCCUGGAGCAGACAGAGCCACAGGAGAUAGGGUUAGAGAGUUAGUGGACGGUAGAGCUUCUGCUGCUGGACCUGCUGUCCUCCACCUCCUCCUGAC
ensembl:lncRNA